rnacentral:rRNA from 1 species
UCGACUUACUGUAGCGCAGGGUGGGGACUACGGUGGGGGCAAUCGGUACUCGGAAUUAAGUGGAGUAAAGAGCAUGGAGGCUGAUUAAUAAGUUUGAAGUGAAAUCCGACAGCUGAAGUAUAGAACUGCGUUGGAAACUGUUAAUCUAGAGUGGGGGAGAGGUAGAUGGAAGUGCUGGUGGAGGGGUAAAAUCCGUAUAGAUCAGAAGGAAUACCGAUGGCGAAGGCGAUCUACUGGAACAUAAUUGACGCUGAGAUGCGAAAGCGUGGGGAGCAAACAGGAUUAGAUACCCGAGUAGUC